UCAUAACUACCAUAACUAGCAUACCGUAUCAUAACUACCAUAUCAUAACUACCAUAACUAUCAUACCGUAUCAUAACUACCAUAUCAUAACUACCAUAACUAGCAUACCGUAUCAUAACUACCAUAUAAUAACUGCCAGAACUACAAUACUGUAUCAUAACUACCAUACCAUAUCAUAACUACCAUAUGUGUCAUAACUACCAUAUUGUAUCAUAACUACCAUAACUAUCAUACCUAUCAUAACUACCAUAUCAUAACUUCCAUAACAAAUACUGUAUCAUAACUACCAUAUCAUAACUACCAUAACUAUCAUACAGAUCAUAACUACCUUAUCAUAACUACCGUAACUACCAUACUGUAUCAUAACUACCAUAUCAUGUCAUAACUACCAUACUGUAUCAUAACUACCAUACCAUGUCAUACCUACCCUAACUAUAGGUCCCUGUUACGUGUCCGUACAGGAAAAACGUCUGUAUUUUGAUCCCAGUGCUUGUAGAAGACGUCCUCAAGGCUUUUUACGCAAUUGUUUACAUGGUAACAAUAAAUAAAUCGAUUUUUAUCUAUUUACUGGAAUUCAUGGUUAAAAAUGAAACAUGUCAACAACAUCACUGUGUUUUCACCUCCGCGUCCCUUCGGCCGAGUAGCUUGUUUACGUGCCAGUUCUGUUCAGACGGCUUAAGACACUGGAAGACAAUUCAACAUGGCAGCAUGAUAAUCAAACUGUGGAAUUCUUUCCUCGAAAAAGGCACCGUCUCCUCGGCAACGUGAAGCAAACACUGUCCGCUGUAACGCUUGUCUGAAGUCUGAGAGAAAAAAGCCUCCCCAGCAUCUCAAACACUGCGCGCAGCCGAGAGGGAGGACACGUUCUUCAGGGACAAUCUCAUUCUCUUAUUUCUAUUUUUUAUAUUUCAUAUGCUUUGUCUGUUUUCAAGAGGAAACAAAAACAGAUGGAACAAGAUUUUAUUUUCAGGCCGUACCACAAACAUUCAUGAUUGCUGCUAAUCAUCACAUGCACGGAAUGGUAACAUUGUGAGCCUAAUUUGUAGCAUGUGCGUGCAUAGAAUUUGAAUCUUCCCCAAAGCGAUUGAUAAUGAGAAUAAUUUGUGUGUAUAUAUAUAUAUAUUAGAACAAAAGGGCAGUUAAGAAAAUGUCCCUUGUUAUGAAGGAAGCUGUGUCAGUGUGUGGAAUCUGGUGUUGGUACCAAAGUCACAAAUGUAACCUUGUUUAAUGUGUUCCCCUCGCUGUGAAUGCUGAGCAGCAUCCCUGUUAGCAUUGCCAUGCGGGUACAAGUGUCCCACUAAUUUGCCUGCAGAGCCCAGGGGGAGGCUGAUUUCCUGGUGCCAUAUAGCACCGUCCAAAUUGGGUUAUUUUGAGAAAGCUAAGCAGGUUAUGAGAAGAUUAUUUAACACCUGGUAUCCCAGUUUGUCCCCCGGAGUCAAACGGUUUACUUUUGUCCCUUUUGUUUUUCUGUGUUUUUUCCUUCUUCUUCUUCUUCUUCUUUUCUCCACCCUCAGCUUUGUAGGCAGCUCAGUCGCAGCAUCUCCCACCAGAGUCAAGUCAAAAGGGAGCCCCCCCUCCCUCCCCCCCUCCCACACACACACACACACACACACACACAUGAAAAGGUUCCUCCCUCUUUGCCAAUCAGUGGCUGUGAGUCCUGGCAGCCAUCACUGUGUGUGAAACACAAAGGAAGGAGUCCACCUUAAUGCUGUCUCUGGGUGCCGGGAGAUGCAGACUGCUGCUGGUGGCAAACAGAGAACAGUGCCUUUGCUUUAAAGUCCUCAGUCGCUCUCUCUCUCUCCUUCAUAUGGAGGACGAUGAAACCUCAGAGGAAGAUCCGAGUCGAGUGCCUGGAUGACAAUGUGUUUCUCCCCUGCCAGGCACUGAGGGGUUACUGGGUGGAACUCAGCCAGUCGUACGCUCACAUCAAUUAAACCAUUUAGAUAAUGGACCGUGUGGCGCUGCUUGAUGUCCGUAUUUACUCAUAAAACCCUAACCGCGUCCAAUAUUGGAUAAAUCCAUAUGAAAUAAAUGAUCCAUUAAAGUGUUGCGCCAUAACAUGUGAACCAUAAGGUUAUUGAUAGGAGGUGCUUAAUGAAAGAACAUUUUUAAAUUGAUUUCAUCUAUUCAGCUCAGUUAAUUCAAUUCAGACGUUUUUUGUUUCGGUUUUCUGUCCAGAAUGUCUUUAUUUGUAACGCGGCUCGCAGCUGAACUCUCUCCAGACCGGUACACUACGAAGCAUGUCAUUUUGCUUUGAUACGGUCCGGCGAUUUUCAAAUCCUUUGUGAGGUGGAUUUAUUAGAUAGGUGUGAUUCAAUGGGUCCAUAUGAGUUUGGCUCAAGACAACUCUACGGCUGGAAAGAAAAAAUGAAAGAGUCGGAUGAUGAGAAAUAGCUUCUGUGCCUUGAAUUCAUAAGAAUAAAGAGGUGUGAGAGGCGAUGGUAUCUGCUGCUUCUUCUUACAGCUUAUUUGUAGAGGACUCGUAUGAUCACAUGACGUAUUCGGUGGGACACCUCCGGUUUGAAGAGCCAUGCAGGACGGAAACGGCAGUGAAACAUAUCUUAUCCAACUAAAAGAAAGGCUCAACUAAAUACAAUCGUAUGAUUCCAAGUGUACUCCAUAUGUAGAAUACUCCCAACAAGUGAAACUCAUCCAUACGGUUUGAGAGGCUUUGGAGAGAGCUUAAAGUAUAACUUUUAGUAAUAGUGACGGGAAGUUAAAGCAUGCACUUCUGCUGAUACUGAUUUAUUUUUAUGUGGGUGCCUCCUUCUCCAAAGGGGCGUGCCGGUCCUCACAAGGAACCCGAAAGCAGCCACUUAGCUGCUGUUAGCGUCGUCAACCAUCAACCAACCAGACGCUGCUGCUCUAAAUACACGGCGACAACCCACUGCUUUAACCACAAGCCAGGUUUAACUAGCCAGCUCAAGGUGUCCCUCAAAUAAAGACACACUGUCGUCUGUAGCCAUCCAAAGUUAGACGGCCUUCUUGCUCAUGUUGUACAACCGGAGAAAAUGAUGUAAUUGUUUACAUGAUUCAAACAUUUAAUCCUAUUUUCUUGCAUUAAGAUGAAGGAACAGUUCUAAUUAUAUUCACAAUAUGUCACAGUUGAAGACAACAAAAUCUACAAUAUGUUGAUAUUUAUAAUACCUUCAUUAGCAUCAAUAGCCAAAGUGACCUUUGGUUGGUGCCAUGGACAGUGUGUGGGUUUCUCCAUAUGGUCAGUUGUGAACCAUGUGGAGACUUUAACACAAACCACUCGCACUGUCCGGGAUCAUUAAUCCAUCUGCAUCUUAAUGACUGCAGCUACAGCGAUUUGAUCACGCAGGGUGUUUUUCUUCUUGUGUCACGGAUUUGGAAAAUGUAUCUCUGAUCGUUAUUUAAUGAAUAAAUAACAAUGUAUUCCUGUUGGAUGUUGUUUGGUCGGGAUCACUCAUGCAUUCAGUGACUUUUAUCAAAUGACAUUCCUGCUGUGUCUAAAGCCAUUAAACUGCAUGCGAUGGGUGAACAGAUUAUCAGGGUUGUUGUACAAUGUUUUCUUUUAAAACCGGUGACUAUUUUGUUAAAAAGGAUGACAUAAUUAUUAAGUUAUCCCAUUUCCCUCUCUCUCUGUUUGUAAAAUGCAUUAAAUAUACUUAAGUCACAUGUGUGUCAGUGUGCUGAAAACACAGCGCAUGCAGCAUUAAUUCCCAAGUUAGAUACUCUGAUUGGAAAUGUUUCAAGGUUUACAGCAAUGGAUUGUAAAUGUAAAUUAAAAACAGAUAUUUUGUUAUUUCGUCAUUGAUUUGAACGUUCAUGUCUUCAGCAUUACCUUCAGCUGUCCUCUUUCCAUCCAAUCGGUCAUUAGCGAUACAUCAACCUGCCACUGACCCGAGGACAAUACGACCGGUGACUCUAAGUGACACUUGAAGAAAUAACCCCUUAAAACGCUGAAGUGAGUACACAAUAUUGAGUCGUGCAGGAAGCCACUGCACUACAAUGACGCUGCAAAAACCAGCAGCGUGAGUCAGAAAGGAGGAGAAAACGUCCCUCAGGAAGGACUGAGACUCUUUCUUAUCAUAAGGUGAGUCUGAUCCAAGUAUCAUUUGUAGUGUAAAGUACACAAACACGUGGCGCUCUCAGCAAUGGCUCAUGGGCACGGUCGCCAUGACGUUGCCUCACUCGGGGAUGGAUGUUGACUUGUGUCAAGUCGGUUGAAGAUUCUCUGGUUAUUUUCAGGGUUUUUUUUUCUUUCAUCAUCUAGUUUCAUAUUAAUUUGUAAGAGUGACUUUUUAUGGCACAAAAAAAAAUGUAAAUUCUAAUCAGUUAAGUUUAGAUGACUUAAUGGUUCAUAUCCACACUGGUGAAAUGCUUUACAUAUCACGUUAUGUUCCCUUUUAUGUGCCAUAAGUGGUGUGUGAGCUGACGUGGAGCCACCGUGAUAACAAGGUCACGCUCCCCCAUCGUGCAGUGCAGCGAGGCGAUAUCUGACUCGCUUCCAGAUCUUCCCAGCUACGCCGACUACCAUCACAAAUUGGGAUUCUUAACCGCCGCAGAUGAAAACGAGGCAAAGAUUCUUUUUGAAAGCCUGUUCUGCAUAUGACUGUUUAAUGACGAGCUUCCAUCCACAACCACAACUGAGGAAUUAUUGGCUUUGUAUAGUCAUUUCAACGCUAAUGUGUCCUAAUGACAUCUCUAUGGCUCCUGCUUAAGACUCUAAUGGGCAGUAACGGAUCUCAAGAUGUGGCGUGUUCUAUUAAAUUAAUUAUUGAUCGCCGCCUCAUACGCAAUUGAUGUCUUAGUUCUCGGAUACCUUGUUAUUGAUGAUUUUCACCGAGGCCGUAAAGCGCGUCUGAGGCCUCAGCGCGCGCACACACACACGCACACACACCGAGCCUGCAGGCACCGUCAGCUGCAGUGAUGCAAUUUGUGGUUCGCAUUGAAGCAAAGAUCAGAGUUUCGUUUACAGUGACCGGCCGCGGCGCCGACGCGCGCGGAUAAUGGGCUCGUCUUGCUGUGUUGGAUGGUGGGCGUCAUCGACUACGCUCUCAUUGAGCAAGGAACCGUGGAUGUGCAGGAAGGCGUGAGACACAAAGACGCCGAAAUUGCAGAUGAAGGGACGGCGUGAAUUAAUAUGUGUCUUUAAAUUCUUUAUUUUCCUCCGUCUCUAGCUUCGGCAUCUCGCUCAUGAAACGCAUGUUUGUGUUGGCUGCCAGACGGCAAUAUUCAAACCGCUGGCUUGUGCCGUUGUGUCUUUGUCUCGUGCGUCGUGCAUAACCCAAAACCGCCGCUACGCUCUCCAGACUGAUGAUCGUAGCUCUAAAGCCGUGAAGAUAAUGUAUCCGUCCUGGCAGGCACUCGUCUCAUCGCUCGCUUUUCAAAUGAACACUUUAUGGGCUUCUUAGCUUUGGCACCGCUGUCCUCAUCUGUCUUUCUAUACCGAUUCUUUUUUUCUUCCUUCUUUUCUUUUAUGGAAUAAUCUCCACGCUGACGGAGACAACAAAAGAUCCAAACGUUGUUUCUUUUAAAGCCUGUGAGAGCAGUUGUCUACUGAGCUGCCAGCCGUUUGGACAAAAAAACAGUUUGACCAAUAAGACGAGAUCAAAAUGUGACGGUUAGUUUAGUAAACUGUUUCAGAAGCAUCUCGGCUUCGACCUCGCACUGCACACCGGCGUUCCGACUGUGCACUUGUUUACCCGCCCGGCCAACGGGGCGAGGGAGGCGGCCCCCUCGCUGCUUUGGGUCGAGGACCCAAAGAUACUUGUGUAACGAUAACAAAGGGAGAGAGGAAUUCAUAGUCUGUUGCAACACUUUAAAUGUGGUGGAAAUAUGCUAAAGAAUUCCAUUCAGACUCCCCUUCCGCGUGGGAGUUAUUAAGGUGUUAUUAUACCCCGAGAUAUCCCAUAAAUACACCCUGAAAAGUAAUUUAACUCAGACUGUAGCGACCUCCAUUCAGGAAGACUUCAUCUGCUGCAGCAAUAGCUGGAUGUGUGUUUUUAUAUCUCUUCUGCCCAAAACACACAUGCAAAUGAGCCAAUGACUCCACGGCAAUAAGGCUCAAUGUGACACACCGAGAAAAAUCUCCUGAAAGACGGAGCUUGUAAAAAUGUCUCCGCGCGCCGGAGAGAGGAGACGUUCCUGCGCUUGAAUCUCCUCGCCGCGCCGAAUUGAGGGCAAAGGGUCGAAUGAAGAGAAGGCGUCGGCGGGAGACUGGCCCGCGGCGGCCACAGGGCUCGUUGGACAUCAUCCAGUCGCAGCGUGAAUCCGUUGUACAGCUGUUGGAGAGUCGCUGGGGCAACGUCUUAUGGGCGCAAAAUACCCGUCGAGCUCUUCAUCACAUCAAGUUUUGUCGACUGAAUUUAAGGAUUGAAGGGAGCACAGAAUCUCUUCAUCACCGCUCUGGCGUUGACCCUUGAAUUAUCAGCUGAUAAUUAACCGCCGCGUGUCACAGUGAUGAGACCCGAUUCACGGAUCCCCUUUUUCACAGACGUCUUAACAAACAAGAGGCCGCCCCAAACGCACUCGAAUUGAGGCCAUGCGAGCGAGUGGGCCACUACAAUGGAGUCAGCGGACAGGAAACAGCGCCCCCCCCCCGCCCAGUGGCCUCCUUUCUCCUCCACGCGGACAACAACGCGGCGACCCCGUCGCACAAUCAGCCGCGCAUUGAUCUCGGGGGCCGCCAGCGAUCAGUGGACGUCCCUCAAUAGUCGGCGACAACACAUUUGCUCUCGUUUGCUGAAAUGAUCCAGUUGUUGUGUGGCUGUGGCCGGGGGACAUAAAGGCUUAAUGACCAGAGCGUGAUGGAAUGUCAAGUGUUGAAAAAGCACAAAUAAAUCCAAAGGCUCUCGAGGGCCUCGUUGUUUUCCCUGCCGCUUUCUUUUCCUCGCUACACUUUUGCAUAUUUCAUUUCAGAGGGGAAUAAAAAGUAUCUCUCCGGAGCGCCGAGGCGCCAUUUGGCUUAAUGUGAUUGUUUUCAGGUCGCGAUAAAGAAGGUAAGCGCUUGUUUGCAUGUGUGUGUGUUAUCAACACAGGGAGAGAAUUAAAGGGAGCUAGAAGGGCCUGGCGGUCUCUCGUGGCGGCGGUGUUGCGGCUGCGCGAGGACCCGGGACUGACGGCAGGAUGGGGCCUGACGAAUGAGGGCCCGAUAAAUCCGCGCCGCCAACAGGAGGCAGAACAAUAUCUGCCGAAGCAGGAGGGGAGAUAUCCGCCUGCGGCCGGCGACAUCACGGGGAGCCGUAGAUCAAGGCUCCAUGUCGGCGCCAUCGCCGGGGCAAAGCACCGGCGCCGCCACCGCCGGUCCCCGCGGGUGAAGCAAUCCAAACGCAUCGAUCUAAUAUCACACUCAGAACUCAGAGGGCCGCGGCGUUGGAAUGAAAUUGAUUGAUUAUACACCAGUGACGGGGUUCAUGCACACACACACACGCACGCACAUCGAAGGCGGCACCUGGCGUGCGCGGGCCCUCGCCGUUGUCUCGCCUGCUUAGUUGUUCAUUCGAAGGUAGCGCGCAGGGGGCCGGGGGCCGGGGGGGGAAACCAGAAGGAACAUGGUUUCGCUGCUGCAGGCUAGAAAUGUUCUAUCGACCGCCAUCUUCCCAAAGUCCACCAAAGGCCAGGACGGCGCUUCGCACCGCAUCCCGGGCGCCAUUCUGCUUCUCUACCGACGCGGAGGCCUGGAUCUGCCAACACCCGCCGUCCAUGUGCGCGCGCCCGCCAGUGUAGUAAAUCUGCGACGGCGAGGGGGCGUCGGUAGAAGCGCCGCUUCACAGUCGAUAAAAGGUGGUUGUAAUAAGAGCAAUCUGCAGGCAUUUGCCGAGGAGAACAUCUUGGGAGUGCUCGGGGGGGUCGCACCUGCACUGUGGAGUUAAUAUUUCAAAAUAGAACUCAGACAACAAUGUGCACACAUUCCGAGUCACUGCACCCUGAGCGCCAACACGUAAAUGUUCAUUAUUCAAUUCAUCUUCGUAUUCCUGUUUAUUUGUUUAUUUUUAAUCUGCUUGGGUUUAUGUCAAAGACAUAAACUGGCAGAUGAAACUUAACGUCGUUUCCCAUCCUACUUAAUUAGCUUUGCAGAUAACUUUGGCCUGUUUGCAUUUCCUUGCUUUACUAUUUUUAUCUGUUUGUCAGCUGGCUAAAAUAUGCAAAUGGAAUGAGUAUUUUCAGCAAUUAUUUCACACAUCCUCGCCGGACCAUAUGCCAAGUAAAUGAUGAAAAUAUGCCUGUCGCACAAUAGUCCUUCCAAUCACCGCUCACUCAGUCACCGUCAAUGGCGAUAAUCCUCAAAGCAGAUUCUCCUUUAAUUUCCCAUAAAAUACAUUUGCAUUUGCUUGCAUUGUUUAUCCGCCCUGCGUGUCUAUAAAUGGCACACGACCGGCUGUAUGUUUCGGGGCGGGGAUGUGGAGGGAGCCUUUAUGUCCUGGGCUCUCUUGGAUUGCCAGCUUUCCUUCGGGGAUAAUCCAUGUGAAAUUGAAGUACAGUGCUGGAAUAUCAAUGGUGUGUUUCUUUUUGUCCUACUUCCGCUGAGGCAUCAGAGGGAAAGGAGAGAGAGACAGGACUUUACUGCUUGGAGGAAACGAACCAGUUGGAGCAGUCUGAACAUCAAUACGACAAUCGGGCGAGCUUGAGGAGGAGUAAUAGCGGUGUUUAAAAGCCCAACCACUGCACCCGGUGGUCCCAUGCUGCACCUGUAAAGCUACUCGUCGCUCGGGUGCAACAUAGAGGAGCGGUUUGGUUGCUGGGAUCGUCCGGCGGAGACUCUGCCGAAAAGAUCGAUGAGACUCUCAAACACGUCCGUUAAAUGUACAAAAUAUCUCACUAAUUCCUUUCGAUGCUGUUCAAUGCGCCUCCGGACAUACGUCCCGCUCGGCUGCACUGUAGUUAAAAAAAGCAUUAAGAUGAAAGCCCUUUAUUCAUUUUUUAGAUGUUGAUUCACCGACUACAUCGGCGCCGAGAACAGAUCAAAGCAACAGCAAGUUUUAAGUGAUGAUUCACGCCGCUAAAGUAGAAAGAAAAGGAACUUUUAGGGAGUAUAUUUGCAAAACAAAUCACCUGGUGGUCCGACAAGUCUGUUCUGUAACAUCUCACCCGACGGCAGGAAACGCAUAAAACUGUCACGUUGCUUCUGGCUAACGCAGCACGCAGCUUCGCGUACUGCGAGAUACGGGAUGGGCGCCGGACAAGGUCACCUGGAAACGGGCGAGUGAAAAAUAAUGAACAAAAAGCCCAAGACGAGAGCGGCGGUGUUCUUCUAUCUUGUGCGAGGACCACCAACAGCAGAUUGUGCCUCGUGUCAUGGGGUGGGUCGUGUCCCGCGGUGCCGGAGGGGAAAUGGGAGGGCGGGUGAAGGCUAAAUGGCCGACGCCGCGCGCCUUUCACACCUAGAUUGACCGCCGCGUGACGCCUGAGCAGGUUGUUACCGCGGUGACACGCUCAUAAGAACACACUUCAUCUUCAUCCUUCCACGAGUGCCACAUGCAACAACUCCCUACCGGAGGUUCUUGGAGGCCCGCUUCAUUUUGAGGUCAAGUCCAAUCUGAGCGGCAGAACGGUGCGAGUGGCUGAUUCCGCCGACCUUGACUUGGCUUGAAAACACCGAUAAGCGUUUCAGAAUGAGCUCGCUGUUGACUUCUUACCCCGCGAGCCGCACAACUUAUCGCCUCGCCACAAAUAAAUGGUAACAAAUAAGAGAAAAUGAUUUAUUCUCCCCUCUGGUAGAAUAUUCUAGAAUACAUUAUGUACCUUUUUUGGUUUUGUUUCAAAGUGCCGUCCUCAGAGA
ensembl:lncRNA